GACAGAGGAUGCAAGCGUUAUCCGGAAUGAUUGGGCGUAAAGCGUCUGUAGGUGGCUUUCAAGUCCGCCGUCAAAUCCCAGGGCUCAACCCUGGACAGGCGGUGGAACUACCAAGCUGGAGUACGGUAGGGGCAGAGGGAAUUUCCGGUGGAGCGGUGAAAUGCAUUGAGAUCGGAAAGAAACACCAACGGCGAAAGCACUCUGCUGGCCGACA
rnacentral:rRNA from 1 species